CGCAGCCGCGGUAAUUCCAGCUCCAAUAGCGUAUAUUAAAGUUGUUGCAGUUAAAAAGCUCGUAGUUGAAUUUCGGGAUUGACACAUCGGUCGUGCCUUAAGGGGUAUGAACUGGUGUAGUCAAUUUCUCACCUUCUGGAGAACCGCGAUGCCCUUAAUUGGGUGUCACGGGGAACCAGGACCUUUUACUUUAGAAAAAAAUUAGAGUAGUUUAAAGCAGGCUAUUUUGCUU
rnacentral:rRNA from 1 species